AAGUUCCUGUAUUUUUAUGUGGAGUUGCUCACUGCCCAACGUAGAGGACUAGGAAUCAGGAGUCGGUGGCCGUAUGCUGGAGGCUGGAGCCGCGGGAGCGCGGCUCGCCUCGCUGCGGUUGUUGGCAGUGACGGAGAGAGAGCAGCGCGGCUGGAGCAGGACAUUGUAUUAGUUUCCUGCAAUAAAAUAUUUUUACAAUGUCAGUUUGUCGAAACUGCUGGACUGUAAACUAUUUCUAAUCGAAACCUGAAAUUGUGUCACAACAUGGCUGUAUUACGAUUCCAUGUCAGAGGAAGGAUAUAUACGUGCAUCUGGUAGUGGCUUCCAGUUGUUGCUGUCAGAUGUUUGUUUGGGAAUGCAUUCAGAAGAGCUUAUCAAGGACUUGAGUACAAAACAAGCAUUUCCACAAAAAAGCAGUGACACAAAUCACUAUGUAAUAUAGUUAGCCUUUGAACAACACGGAUUUGAACUGCAGGGGUCUACUUAUGAGCAGAUUUUCUCCCACCUCUACCACCUGAGACAGCGAAGACCAAUCUUCCUCUUCCUCCUUCUCCUUAGCCUGCUCAACUUGAAGACUAUGAUGAAGAGUUAUAUAAUGAUCUACUUGCAUUUAAUGAACAAUAGUUUCCCUUGCAAAGUUAUCAAAGUGCUCCCCAGAAGACAUUAGGUAUUUGCUUUCUAGUCUACAUACAAUGAAAAGGAAAAAACGUCAGUUCCUGAAGCUCUCUCAAAACAUCAACAGAUGGAAAGACGUGCCCAUGUCCUCCCCUCCCUCCACUCUGGGGGCUUGGAAAUGCUGCAGCAGGGAGCAGGCCCCAGGCUGGACCUGCCCUGUCCUCACGACGAGUGUGUGCAAAAGUGAACAAUAAAUCAUUUCAAAGAUGCAAGGAAGAAAAACCAAAACAUCAACAGAAUCUUCUUUCCCAUAAUCUUCAUGCACCUCCUGGUCCGGAUGAGUUUAUGUUCCCAUCUCCGAGCACAGGGAUUGAUUGUGAUGGCAUUUAUAGGACUGAGUGCCCCACACUCUGUGAUCCAGCAUGGAGUUAUGAUUUACAUCACCACAGGAAGAGUACAGAGGCUUCAACAGAAAAAAAGCAAAAACAACAGACCUUCAUUCAGCUUAGGAACAUAAUAAAUAGGACGAAGUUGAAUAAACGAAAUGGAGGGGAGUGAAGUAUUCCAGAUGGAAGAGGCAGUACGUGGCCAAGAGGAAACAGACCAUGUGCGCUGGAGAAAAAGGAUGGCCAGACUUGCAGAAACCUGGAAUUGGUGAUUGGCUUUAGAAGUGGAGAGACAAAAAAGGAGGCAUAGAAAGUGCCAACAUUUGGCUACACAGGGAAGAAAGACGUAAAAUAAUAAAAACAUUGGCAUCACCUGUAGACUCAAAUCCUGUGAGUGAAGGACCUGAGCAAUGAAGGAUGGAUUGAACUCGUGAUUAGCCUUCUUCAGCAUAUGUAAAAUGAUGUCUGCUUUUCUUCUCUAUUUGUCAUUUUACCGACUUUUUAUAUAUAGUAGUUUCCCCAUAUCCAUGGAGGAUGUAUCCCAAGACCCCCAGAGGAUGCUUGAAACCACAGAUAAUAACAAACUCUAUGUAUCCUAUGAUUUUUCCUGUACAUCCUUACCUAUCAUAAAAAAUUGAAGUUGAAGUAUAAGGAGAAUUUUUACAUCACCCAGGUUCUAAUUUGGAAGGUUUCUAACAGCCCUCUGUCCUCUUCUGGUGCUCACUGUGAAAGAAUUUGCACCCUGCAACACUAAGUGUUUGUGCUAGAAUCCACUUCUGAUGUUGGCUGCUCUGACACAGCUUCCAUUCGGCAGGGUCUCACUCUUGUCGCCCAGACUGCAUUGCAGUGGGGUGAUCUCGGCUCAUUGCAACCUCUGUCUCCCGGAUUCAAGCAAUUCUCCUGCCUCAGCCCCCCAAGUAGCUGGGUUUACAGGUAUGUGCAACCAUGCCCAGCUAAUUUUUUUUUGUAUUUUUUUCAGUAGACAUGGUUUUUUUUUUUAAAUUUUAUUAUUAUUAUACUUUAAGUUUUAGGGUACAUGUGCGCAACGUGCAGAUUUGUUACAUAUGUAUAUAUGUGCCAUGUUGGUGUGCUGCACCCAUUAACUCGUCAUUUAGCAUUAGGUAUAUCUCCUAAUGCUAUCCCUCCCCACUCCCACCACCCCACAACAGUCC
rnacentral:lncRNA from 1 species